rnacentral:rRNA from 1 species
GCUUUACACAUGCAAGUCGAACGGCAGCAUAGAGAGCUUGCUCUCUGAUGGCGAGUGGCGAACGGGUGAGUAAUACAUCGGAACGUGUCCGUUUGUGGGGGACAACCACCCGAAAGGGUGGCUAAUACCGCAUAAGACCUGAGGGUGAAAGCCGGGGACCGCAAGGCCUGGCGCGAACGGAGCGGCCGAUGACUGAUUAGCUGGUUGGCGGGGUAAAGGCCCACCAAGGCGACGAUCAGUAGCUGGUCUGAGAGGACGACCAGCCACACUGGAACUGAGACACGGUCCAGACUCCUACGGGAGGCAGCAGUGGGGAAUUUUGGACAAUGGGGGCAACCCUGAUCCAGCCAUGCCGCGUGCGGGAAGAAGGCCUUCGGGUUGUAAACCGCUUUUGUCAGGGACGAAAAGGUGCGGGUUAAGAGCUAGCACUGAUGACGGUACCUGAAGAAUAAGCACCGGCUAACUACGUGCCAGCAGCCGCGGUAAUACGUAGGGUGCGAGCGUUAAUCGGAAUUACUGGGCGUAAAGCGUGCGCAGGCGGUUGGGUAAGACAGAUGUGAAAUCCCCGGGCUUAACCUGGGAACUGCAUUUGUGACUGUCCGACUGGAGUAUGUCAGAGGGGGGUGGAAUUCCAAGUGUAGCAGUGAAAUGCGUAGAUAUUUGGAAGAACACCGAUGGCGAAGGCAGCCCCCUGGGGCAAAACUGACGCUCAUGCACGAAAGCGUGGGGAGCAAACAGGAUUAGAUACCCUGGUAGUCCACGCCCUAAACGAUGUCUACUGGUUGUUGGAGGGUAAAACCUUCAGUAACGAAGCUAACGCGUGAAGUAGACCGCCUGGGGAGUACGGUCGCAAGAUUAAAACUCAAAG